rnacentral:rRNA from 1 species
UAGGGAGGCAGCAGUGGGGAAUAUUGCACAAUGGGCGAAAGCCUGAUGCAGCUAUGCCGCGUGUAUGAAGAAGGCCUUAGGGUUGUAAAGUACUUUCAUCGGGGAGGAAAAAACAAAACUAAUAAUUUUAUUUCUUGACGUUACCCGAAAAAGAAGCACCGGCUAACUCCGUGCCAGCAGCCGCGGUAAUACGGAGGGUGCUAGCGUUAAUCAGAAUUACUGGGCGUAAAGAGCACGUAGGUGGUUUUUUUAAAGUCAGAUGUGAAAUCCCUGGGCUUAACCUGGAACUGCAUUUUGAAACUGAAAUACUAGAGUAUCGUAGAGGGAGGUAGAAUUCUAGGUGUAGCGGUGAAAUGCGUAGAUAUCUGGAGGAAUACCUGUGGCGAAAGCGGCCUCCUAAACGAAUACUGACACUGAGGUGCGAAAGCGUGGGGAGCAAACAGGGAUUAGAUACC